AUUUUCUUGUUUGUGAAAAAAAAAAACUUUUCGCUGCCGUUGCCUCUUUUGCGAGUGCAGCUCGCCAGAGGGCGGUAUUGGUACAUGCUUCGGAGUCGCAGGGUUCUAUGCCGUGUUUUUAGUCGUCAACGCCGUUGUUCGCCCAAUCGAUAACUAUUGUUUUUAUGUAGCGCGGCUCAACAAAUGAGUUAUUUAUUAUAAUACAAUGCUAAGACAAUAUUUUCGCAUAAGUUUCUUGCCUAUUUUUAAUACGCCAUAAGAAAUAUAUGUUAUCGUUGCGCCCUAGUCGCUUUUAUGCAACGCCGACGUUACAAGCAAUUAAUUCGCGGCCUGGGAAUGCCACUCGCCGUCGUUAGUCUUCGGCUCUGGCCGCCAUUACUGCUUCCAGCAAAACCACGCUAUACGCAAAAUUCGUGAAAUUUGUGUAAAUUUUUUAACGAAUUAUCAACAAAAUUGUGCGUGCAGGCGUGUGAAAAGCGUGAUUUGAUAAAGUAACACCAAGGAGAGCAACAAAAGAACAGAAACUAAAGAAAAACAAGUGAAAGUCAAUAAUAAUAGGAA